rnacentral:rRNA from 1 species
GCUAGUCGCACGGGUUCAGACCCGUGGCAGAUAGCUCAGUAACACGUGGCCAAACUACCCUGUGGACUGGAAUAACCUCGGGAAACUGAGGCUAAUUCCGGAUACCGCUCAUCGCCUGGAAUGGCACGAGCAGUAAACGCUACGGCGCCACAGGAUGUGGCUGCGGCCGAUUAGGUAGACGGUGGGGUAACGGCCCACCGUGCCAAUAAUCGGUAUAGGUUGUGAGAGCAAGAGCCUAGAGACGGAAUCUGAGACAAGAUUCCGGGCCCUACGGGGCGCAGCAGGCGCGAAACCUUUACACUGCACGACAGUGCGAUAGGGGAAUCCCGAGUGCGAGGGCAUACAGUCCUCGCUUUUGCACACCGUAAGGAGGUGUGCGAAUAAGGGCUGGGCAAGACCGGUGCCAGCCGCCGCGGUAAUACCGGCAGCCCGAGUGAUGGCCGAUGUUAUUGGGCCUAAAGCGUCCGUAGCUGGCCGAACAAGUCCGUCGGGAAAUCCACGCGCUUAACGCGUGGGCGUCCGGCGGAAACUGUUCGGCUUGGGGCCGGAAGACCAGAGGGGUACGUCCGGGGUAGGAGUGAAAUCCCGUAAUCCUGGACGGACCGCCGGUGGCGAAAGCGCCUCUGGAAGACGGACCCGACAGUGAGGGACGAAAGCUGGGAUCUCGAACCGGAUUAGAUACCCGGGUAGUCCCAGCCGUAAACGAUGCCCGCUAGGUGUGGUGCAGGCUAC